UGUAAUCCAGUGCUAGGGAGGCAGAAACAAAGGAUCCAUGAGACUCACUACUUGGUUUGUAUGUGCUCCACCCAGGGAGUGGCACUAUUAGGAGGUGUGGCCUUGUUGGAGUAGGUGUGUCACUGUGGCUGUGGGCUUUAAUAUCUAGUGCUAGCUGCCAGUCAGUGUUCUGCUGGCAGCCUUCAGAUGAAGAUGUACAACUCUCAACUCCUCUUUGCAUCAUGCCUGCCUGGAUACCUCCAUGUUCCCACCUUGAUGAUAUGGACUGAACCUCUGAACCUCUUCAUAGUGCUGGGAUUACAAAGUCCUCCACCAUCUCCAGUUCCUGUGUUGCCAGAGACUCAGCCCAGGACCAGGUACAUCCUAGGAAUGCAUGCAGUCUAUGAAAUGGAGAACAGCAUGAAGAAGUCAUAUGAAAGCAAUCACGGGGCUGUCUGUUAAAUGAGGGUUUGAACUAGACUAUGACGGGAUGGAGUUGAGAGAGUAUUUUUUUUUAACUCAAUUCAACAUCAACAAAUUCCAAUAAAUCUGUCAUGGGCAAAAUAACUAGCAACAUCCUGUUGUUUUGGUAACUAAGGUCUUGGGUUAAUUUUAACAUGCUUAAAGGUAAUCAAAGCAACUUUCUGCCCAUGCUUUCCAGACAGAAGGUCCCAAAUCCAGCAAAUCUAUGACAUGGUGACAGUGUUCCCAGUGGAACAAAUUCUGUUAGUGUAAUAUACUUACCUAAUAAACCUAGUUGUAUCCACAUCAUAAAGAUAUUUUAUAUUUAACCUUAACAUGUAAAGUUCAAGAGAACUUUAAUACAAGAAAAAAGUGGGGGAAAAUCCAUUCCUAAAGUGCAUCCUAAAGGUGUAAAUAAAAACUUCCUACCUUUUUAUUUACUUGUCUUGUGUGUACAUGGAUAGACCUGCAAGCAAGCUCGCCAUGGCAUAGGUGCGGAGGUCCAGUUCUGGAACUCGAACUCUUGACAACUCAUCAGGCUUGGCACCAGUGCCUUUAUCAAACACUUGCAUCAAACAAAAGUGAGCCUAGGGAUGUCCCUCAGUGGAGGAGAGGCCUUGGGCUUCACCUCCAGUGCCACAAAAACAAAACAACUGUUAUCUCAAAAGAAGAAAUAAGGACCUAGCAUUUUAUAAAACUGUUGUAAUGAAGGCUGGGAACAAAGCUCAAAGUUAGAGUACUAAGUGCCAAGAUUCAAUCCCCAGGACCAGAAAGUAUUAUCGUUAAAUUAAAUGAA